rnacentral:rRNA from 1 species
GCGGCGGACGGGUGAGUAACACGUGGGCAACCUGCCCUGCAGACUGGGAUAACUUCGGGAAACCGGAGCUAAUACCGGAUAACACCGAAAACCGCAUGGUUUUCGGUUGAAAGGCGGCUUUUAGCUGUCACUGCAGGAUGGGCCCGCGGCGCAUUAGCUAGUUGGUGAGGUAACGGCUCACCAAGGCGACGAUGCGUAGCCGACCUGAGAGGGUGACCGGCCACACUGGGACUGAGACACGGCCCAGACUCCUACGGGAGGCAGCAGUAGGGAAUCUUCCGCAAUGGACGAAAGUCUGACGGAGCAACGCCGCGUGAGCGAAGAAGGUCUUCGGAUCGUAAAGCUCUGUUGUCAGGGAAGAACAAGUACCGUUCGAACAGGGCGGUACCUUGACGGUACCUCACGAGAAAGCCCCGGCUAACUACGUGCCAGCAGCCGCGGUAAUAC